UCCGAGGCUUGGCUGCGAGGACCAGUGGGUGUGUGUGACCGACCUCCCAGCAGGCUUUCCCAGCUUUCUCUAGACAAGGUGCAGCGCAGUAGGUCUACAAGGACUAGCGGCGAGUGGGGGCUGGGUGCGUCCACUGGCCUGUGGCAUCACAUUCUGUUCUCUUAGCUCCUUGAAGCAGGAAGGCCUCAUCACACCGGAAUUCACAGGUGGGGGCUGGCUGUGUCCACUGGCCUGUGGCGUCACAUUCUGUUCUCUUAGCUCCUUGGAGCAGGAAGCCCUCAUCACACUCUGACCAGCAGGUGGAGUUGUAGCUGAAAUUCUCCAAAGGGUCUUGACACCGCAGCUUGCCAUGAAGAGGGGCAUUUAGUUGGCCACAGCGUACAACUGAAGUGCUGCUGCUGACCAGGUUCCAGACGCCAGGCAGGUGAGGCUGAAUGGUCCCAUCAGAGUGUGACCCACCUUACAGGAGAAAUUACAGGUAGAGUUGUAGGAGGAGGCACCCAGUGGGUUUUCACAGGUGAAGUCGACUCCCGAAGGCACCAGCAGUGGAUCACAGGUUACCACUGGAGGAAAGGAAAACAUGGUGGGGGCUGGGUGUGUCCACUGGCCUGUGGCGUCACAUUCUGUUCUCUUAGCUCCUUGGAGCAGGAAGCCCUCAUCACACCUGAAUUCACAGGUGGAGUUGAAGCUGUAGGGAGCAAUCGGGUGGCUGCAGUUCAAACCUCCUCCACUAGGGGCAUCAGACACUGCUGGACACUUCACAGCUGCAGGUCAAGCAGAAUGGCCAUGAACGUCAGCUCAACCUUGGCAUGAGGGAGUUUGUUGGUCCCACUGUCUGGUGGCCAGGCAGAGUAGCUGUGCUGCCCCCUGCAGCUGGAAGCCUGCAUUGCAUCGGACCUGGCAGCUGGAGUUGUAGCUGUUCUCUCCAAAGGCGUGGAGACAGCCCACUGAGCCCUGCUCUGGAGGUUGCACUGGCCCACACACCACAGCUGAGGGAGAGAACAGACCAAGAAAUGCAGACUAAACAAUCUCCACACAGUCUUGCCCGUCGCCCAAGUCAUUGGGCUCCCCCGUGGCCCAGUUCUCCGCCUCAGGUGUCAGGAUCUUAUUGGUGCCCACCCAGGUCCACUUCUCCUGCACCUUCCGGAUGCCGAUCCAGUAGUAGCCUUGGUUACGAGGCAGUGCCUCAUUGAGGUAGGCGAUUUCAGCCUUGUUCUGGAUUGCCACUAUGUCGGUGAAGUGCUCCUUGCAGUAGCGUCGAGCCGACUCCCAGUUCAAUGGUGGGUCUGUGGUGUAAUUAUAAGUCCAGGCCUGAACGCCCAUUCGACUGAGAAGCAAAUCUGAACAAAGGGCAAAUCAAAAGGACAAAUCUCUCUCAUAAGCAAAGCCAGUACUUGGUUCUAUGUGAGAAACGUUGUCAUUAAGGAUCAUAUUGUAUGCAAAUAAAAUAAUACACUUGAAAUGGCUGUAAGCACCUUGAAAAUAUCAAAGUACCUUAAAACACAGCAAAGUUUGA